AGAUUGAACGCUGGCGGCAGGCCUAACACAUGCAAGUCGAGCGGCAGCACGGGUACUUGUACCUGGUGGCGAGCGGCGGACGGGUGAGUAAUGCCUAGGAAUCUGCCUGGUGGUGGGGGAUAACGCUCGGAAACGGACGCUAAUACCGCAUACGUCCUACGGGAGAAAGCAGGGGACCUUCGGGCCUUGCGCUAUCAGAUGAGCCUAGGUCGGAUUAGCUAGUUGGUGAGGUAAUGGCUCACCAAGGCGACGAUCCGUAACUGGUCUGAGAGGAUGAUCAGUCACACUGGAACUGAGACACGGUCCAGACUCCUACGGGAGGCAGCAGUGGGGAAUAUUGGACAAUGGGCGAAAGCCUGAUCCAGCCAAUGCCGCGUGUGUGAAGAAGUCUUCGGAUUGAAAGCACUUUAAAGUUGGAGGAAGGCAGUUAACCUAAUACGUAUCUGUUUUGACGUUACCGACAAGAAUAAAGCACGCUAA
rnacentral:rRNA from 1 species